UUUAAUUUAAAUUAAAACAAUUAUUUUGUGUUAUUCAUUGGUAAUAAAGCUUCUUUAGGUACAACAGCAUCAUGCAGAUCAUGUUGAUGUAAAGUUUGAAAGUAGUAGAAAAAUACACGGAAAAAAAUGGUUGACCAACUUUUUAAGAGUUGCCAUACCUUUAACAUAUGUACAUAUGUACAUAUUUAUGUGUUCCUUGAAAAAAUGUGCUUAGCUAGAGUCACUGAUGGCUGUUUUCACUGCCACGAGAAGAUUGUGUCAACCAACCAGAGAAUAUCCCGAACCAUAUAGUGAACGCCAUAGAUGAGAAUUGGCAACAACUGCUGCUGCUCCAUCGUCAUUUGCAUAUUAAUUAAAUGUCAAAGGGCCAGCAACAUAAAUCCUUCAAGCUGUCAUCUAUCCAAUAGUAGCAGCAGCAUCUUCUGUUCCCUCGAUUCAAAAUGUUCCACAGAAAUGAAAAAUCCAUAACCCGCUUAUAGCACACACAGAUGCUGCUGGAUCUGUUCUGCAGCUGGAGUUAGAGCAGUUGCUGCCAUGACAACCUACAAAGAUGACAUUUUCCCAUUGAUGCACGUUGCUGAUGAGCCAAAAAUCACAUUGCCAGCAAAACAAUUGGAUAUUGAGGAAGAUGAUUUUAUCCUUUCAUCAUGGCUUUGUAUGGUAAAUCUAAGGUUCUAUUUAAUCACGAGUUACAAGAACAACUGGAAAGGCAACCGUCGGCAAUGAUAAUGUCAAUUAAGUGCUAGAGAUUUGUAUAUAAUAUAUAAUGGACUUUACAUAUCAUAUUUGCAACUCUGCAAAAAUUAGUUUGAAGCAAUAUUAUCUUAAUCAUGCAAAUAAAUGUAUACUUUUACCUAA